rnacentral:rRNA from 1 species
UACGUAGGGUGCAAGCGUUGUCCGGAAUUAUUGGGCGUAAAGCGUGCGCAGGCGGUUCGUUAUGUCCGAUGUGAAAGCCCCGAGCUCAACUUGGGAAUGGCAUUGGAAACUGGCGGGCUGGAGUGUGGCAGAGGGGGGUGGAAUUCCACGUGUAGCAGUGAAAUGCGUAGAGAUGUGGAGGAACACCGAUGGCGAAGGCAGCCCCCUGGGCCAACACUGACGCUCAGGCACGAAAGCGUGGGGAGCGAACAGG